UAUAGAACAUGCCCCUGCAGCCUCACUGCUCAGUCCUCUGCUAUUUAGGAGUCAAAUCCCUUUGUUUAUGAACCCUAGUCACACCUAGGGUGCAUGUGACUUGCACAGCCUUCCAUAAACACUUCCUGUAAAGAGAGCCCUAUUUAGGCUUUCUUUAUUGCAAGUUCUGUUUAAUUAAGAUUUUCUCAUCCCCUGCUAUAUUAAUAGCU